UACGUAGGGACCAAGCGUUGUUCGGAUUUACUGGGCGUAAAGGGCGCGUAGGCGGCAAUUCAAGUCAGCUGUGAAAUCUCCGGGCUUACUCGGAACGGUCAGCUGAUACUGCUUGCUAGAGUACAGAAGGGGCAAUCGGAAUUCUUGGUGUAGCGGUGAAAUGCGUAGAUAUCAAGAGGAACACCUGAGGUGAAGGACGGGUUGCUGGGCUGAUACUGACGCUGAGGCGCGAAAGCUAGGGUAGCAAACGGG
rnacentral:rRNA from 1 species